CGGACGGGUGAGUAACGCGUAGGAAUCUGCCUAGUAGUGGGGGACAACCUGGUGAAAACCAGGCUAAUACCGCAUACGCCCUACGGGGGAAAGGAUGGGAUCUUCGGACCAUUCACUAUUAGAUGGGCUGCGUCGGAUUAGCUAGUUGGUGGGGUAAUGGCUCACCAAGGCGACGAUCCGUAGCUGGUUUGAGAGAACGACCAGCCACACUGGGACUGAGACACGGCCCAGACACCUACGGGAGGCAGCAGUGGGGAAUAUUGGACAAUGGGGGCAACCCUGAUCCAGCAAUACCGCGUGUGUGAAGAAGGCCUGAGGGUUGUAAAGCACUUUCAAUUGUGAAGAAAAGCAUAAGGUUAAUAGCCUUGUGUCUUGACGUUAACUUUAGAAGAAGCACCGGCUAACUCCGUGCCAGCAGCCGCGGUAAUACGGAGGGUGCAAGCGUUAAUCGGAAUUACUGGGCGUAAAGCGCGCGUAGGCGGUUUGGUCAGUCAGAUGUGAAAGCCCUGGGCUCAACCUGGGAACUGCAUUUGAUACUGCUAAGCUAGAGUAUGGUAGAGGUAAGUGGAAUUCCAGGUGUAGCGGUGAAAUGCGUAGAGAUCUGGAGGAACAUCAGUGGCGAAGGCGGCUUACUGGACCAAUACUGACGCUGAGGUGCGAAAGCGUGGGUAGCAAACAGGAUUAGAUACCC
rnacentral:rRNA from 1 species